rnacentral:lncRNA from 1 species
CCUUGCCGGAGUUCGCUUCCUCACCGGCGCCACCAGCGUCACCCUCUUCCCUCUCCAUUCGAGGAAUUCUUACUUGUCUCCUAAACGCCAAAAAAAUCCCAGCAACCCUCACCGCCACUGUCGAGGACGAAGGCAUUUUUUCUUGUUUUAUUUAGUUAAUUUAUCUAUCAAUUGAUGUUUUGGUUUACUGGGAUUGGAAACAUUGGAGUGUAUGUUGGGCGCUAGAAAUUGGUGUUUGUUCUUGGUGAUUGGUUUUCUGGUUUUCUGGUGACAAUACUUAGAGUUCCAUAUGAUGGAGGGGAAUGGCAGGUUCUGUAUCUGUAUGUAGGUUUGUGGCAAGGCUUUGUUUUCUAGGUAUAAGCAAAUGACAUUGAAACCCGAUGCUUGAAGAGUAUACAUUUAUUUCCUAUUGUCAUUUAUCUGAUGAAUUUUGUUGGCCUUGAAAAUAUAUUUUUGAUGCAGUUUUGAUUAACACAGUACGCCAUGAAGAAAACGAAGGUAACUAUGCGCACUGAUGAAAGAUCAUUCAUCCAUAUCCAGAGAAGACAGACCCAACUAUAUGCACUCAUUAAAUACCAUUCAUUCAUAUCCGGACAUAACAGAGAGCAUGCAUUCAUAUAAAACUAAGAGCUUAGAUAUGGAGCCUUACCUUCGCAGCUUUAAAAGCACCGGUGAAAGGAGCUGACGAAAGCGAAUGGUCUUCCCCUCCUCUGGCCGUGAGGUCCCUUCCUACCAGGUAGUGAUGAUCAAUGAUGGUCUAGAGUUUCCAAUCUUGGUGAUGGUAAGGUUUUUUCGGAUGAAUAACGUCGUCCUUUUGUUUUCUCGCAAUGGUGAAUAAUAAUCCUCAAUUCCCUCCAGCCUGGUAAAGGAAAUCCGAUCCCUGAAUAAUCAAUCUCGUCCCCUUUUAGAAAACUAAUUUCCAUCCCAAGAAAAAUGUUCCUCUAUUUCCCUUCUGGAUAAUCCGGGCGUAUCCCCCAAGGAUUUCUUCCUUAUUUCUUUCUUCCUUUUAUGUUUCAAUUGGAUCAAUUAAGGAAACAAUUUGAAUAUCCUUCCCUCUUUGGUAAUUUAUUGCAGCUAAUUAGUAUUCGAUUGCAGCUAAUUGGUAUCUGAUUGCACCAGUCUGUAAAUAUUUUCCUCAUGUGGAUCGUGAUAUUUUGCAGAAAGAGAACCAAUCU